UACAGAGGUCUCAAGCGUUGUUCGGAUUCAUUGGGCGUAAAGGGUGCGUAGGUGGCGCCAUAAGUCGGGUGUGAAAUCUCGGGGCUUAACUCCGAAACUGCAUUCGAUACUGGCGUGCUUGAGGACUGGAGAGGAGACUGGAAUUCAUGGUGUAGCAGUGAAAUGCGUAGAGAUCAUGAGGAAGACCAGUGGCGAAGGCGGGUCUCUGGACAGUUCCUGACACUGAGACACGAAGGCCAGGGGAGCAAACGGG
rnacentral:rRNA from 1 species